rnacentral:rRNA from 1 species
CCUACGGGAGGCAGCAGUAGGGAAUCUUUCACAAUGGGCGAAAGCCUGAUGGAGCAACGCCGCGUGCAGGAUGAAGGCCUUCGGGUUGUAAACUGCUUUUAUAAGCGAGAAAUAUGAUGGUAACUUAUGAAUAAGGAUCGGCUAACUACGUGCCAGCAGCCGCGGUCAUACGUAGGAUCCGAGCAUUAUCCGGAGUGACUGGGUGUAAAGAGUUGCGUAGGUGGCAUAAUAAGUAGCUAGUGAAAUCUGGUGGCUCAACCAUUCAGACUAUUAGCUAAACUGUUAAGCUCGAGACCGGUAGGGGUAACGGGAAUGUCUAGUGUAGGAGUGAAAUCCGUAGAUAUUAGAAGGAACACCAAUAGCGUAGGCAGGUUGCUGGGACGGUUCUGACACUAAGGCACGAAAGCGUAGGGAGCAAACGGGAUUAGAUACCCGAGUAGUC